rnacentral:rRNA from 1 species
AUUGAACGCUGGCGGCAGGCCUAACACAUGCAAGUCGAGCGGAUGAAGGGAGCUUGCUCCUGGAUUCAGCGGCGGACGGGUGAGUAAUGCCUAGGAAUCUGCCUGGUAGUGGGGGAUAACGUCCGGAAACGGGCGCUAAUACCGCAUACGUCCUGAGGGAGAAAGUGGGGGAUCUUCGGACCUCACGCUAUCAGAUGAGCCUAGGUCGGAUUAGCUAGUUGGUGGGGUAAAGGCCUACCAAGGCGACGAUCCGUAACUGGUCUGAGAGGAUGAUCAGUCACACUGGAACUGAGACAUGGUCCAGACUCCUACGGGAGGCGGCAGUGGGGAAUAUUGGACAAUGGGCGAAAGCCUGAUCCAGCCAUGCCGCGUGUGUGAAGAAGGUCUUCGGAUUGUAAAGCACUUUAAGUUGGGAGGAAGGGCAGUAAGUUAAUACCUUGCUGUUUUGACGUUACCAACAGAAUAAGCACCGGCUAACUUCGUG